rnacentral:tRNA from 1 species
GGACGGGUGGCAGAGCGGUUGAAUGCACUGGUCUUGAAAACCAGCAAACCGCAAGGUUUCGUGGGUUCGAAUCCCACCCCGUCCGCCA